rnacentral:rRNA from 1 species
CCUACGGGAGGCAGCAGUGAGGAAUAUUGGUCAAUGGACGCAAGUCUGAACCAGCCAUGCCGCGUGCAGGAAGACGGCUCUAUGAGUUGUAAACUGCUUUUGUACGAGGGUAAACGCAGAUACGCGUAUCUGUCUGAAAGUAUCGUACGAAUAAGGAUCGGCUAACUCCGUGCCAGCAACCGCGGUAAUACGGAGGAUUCAAGCGUUAUCCGGAUUUAGUGGGUUUAAAGGGUGCGUAGGCGGUCGGAUAAGUUAGAGGUGAAAUCCCGAGGCUCAACUUCGGAAUUGCCUCUGAUACUGUUCGGCUAGAGAGUAGUUGCGGUAGGCGGAAUGUAUGGUGUAGCGGUGAAAUGCUUAGAGAUCAUACAGAACACCGAUUGCGAAGGCAGCUUACCAAGCUACUUCUGACGUUGAGGCACGAAAGCGUGGGGAGCAAACAGGAUUAGAUACCCCAGUAGUC